GUGUCUGUAACUCAGUUGGUAGAGUAACUGGCUGUUAACCAGUAAGUCGUAGGUUCGAGUCCUACUAGACACGCCA
rnacentral:tRNA from 1 species